UCUGACCAGUUGCACGGAGGGUCUCUGAGUGCUUCACAAACAAACAAUUAAGCCUCACACACACAGCUUGAGAGAGAGGAUCUAUUAUUCCCACGUCUCGGAGACCCCCAGGCACAGAGCUGCGCAGUGACAUGCCCGGGGCAGCAGCAGAGUCGGGAAUAGAGGCCGGCUCUCCAGACUUCCAGGCGCAGGUUUUAGCCACCGGCCCAUCCUUCCGGCCAAGCCUCCCUGGGCGAAGGUCUGCUUUGGGGAUCUAGGUUCCCUCUGUCUCCCGUUUCACCAUGGUGGCCUCUGUGGCCCUAUGACCAGUUAGGAGGGGACUAAGCGGGGGGGCCAGUUGCAGUUUCUCUGUCAGUGCAGCGGCAUUGCCAUCCCUGGAAGGAAACCGCAGGCCGGGCCCCAGGGGGCAUUUCCUGUUCCCCAGCAGUUCACUGCGCCUGUCGUCCGGCUGCCACUCGCUGUACAGCCGCGCCCUGGGAGCCAUGGAAACCUGAGCCUGUCGUCCGUCUGCCACUCGCUGUACAGCCGCGCCCUGUGAGCCAUGGGAACCUGAGCCUGUCGUCCGGCUGCCACUCGCUGUACAGCCGCGCCCUGUGAGCCAUGGGAACCUGAGCCUGUCGUCCGGCUGCCACUCGCUGUACAGUCGCGCCCUGUGAGCCAUGGGAACCUGAGCCUGUCGUCCGGCUGCCACUCGCUGUACAGUCGCGCCCUGUGAGCCAUGGGAACCUGCGCCUGUCGUCCGGCUGCCACUCGCUGUACAGCCGCGCCCUGUGAGCCCCACGAGCCUUCGCCUCUUGUAUGGCUGCUGCUCACUAUACAGCUGUGGCCUGUGAGCCCCGGGAACCUGCGCCUGUUGUGUGGCUGCCACUCACUGUACAGCCAUGCCCUGGGAGCCCUGUGAGACUUCGCCUGUCGUCAGCUGCCGCUCGCUGUACAGCCGUGCCCUAGGAGCCCCAGGAGCCUGCACCUGUUGUGUGUCUGCCGUUUGCUGUACAGCCGUGCCCUGGGGAGCCCCGGGAGCCUGCGCGUGUCGUCAGUUGCCACUUGCUGUACAGCCGUGCCCUGGGAGCCCUGGGAGCCUGCGCCUGUCGUCAGCUGUGGCUCGUUGUACAGCCGCGGCCUGGGAGCCCCGGGAGCCUGCACCUGUCGUCCGGCUGCCGUUCGCUGUACAGCCGCGCCCUGGGAGGCUACAGAAGCAGCAGAGGAGGCCAGGAGCGGGGAGAACUCACGUCAAUGGGCUCCCACCUCCUGUGUUCUGCUGGAUCCGUACCUGGAGGCCAGACGGGGCCAUACAGAGGUGGCUGCAUUUCAGUGGUGGAUGAAGUGAUCUGCGUACCUGUUUCUGCUUGGACCUUCCUCGAGGGGACUGGAAAGACCCAUCCACAGCUUCUGAAGUCCUGAUGUUCCUGGAUUACCCGCUGCCACAUUUCAUAAGAAUGGCUAUAGUGGGUCAGACCAAUGGUCCAGCUAGUCCAGUAUCCUGUCUUCUUAUAGUGGCUGGUGCCGGAGGCUUCAGAGGGAAUGGAAAGAACAGGGCAAUUUAUUGAGUGAUCCAUCCCCUGUCAUCCAGUCCCGGCUUUGGGCAGUCAGAGCCUUAGGGACACCCAGAACAUGGCGUUGCAUCUUUGAUCACCUUGGCUAAUAGCCAUUGAUGGACCUAUCCUCCAAGAACUUGUCUCAUUCUUUCUUGUACUCAGUAAUACUUUUGGCCUUCACAACAUCCCCCGGCAACGUGUUCCACAGGUUGACUAUGCGUUGUGUGAAGUAGUCCUUCCUCUUUAAAAAAAAAAAACCCUACUGCCUAUUAAUUUUAUUGGAUGACCCCUGGUUCUUGUGUUUAUGUGAAGGGAUACAUAAUGCUUCCUUAUUCACUAUCUUCUCACCAUUCAUGAAUUUACAGACCUCUAGCCCUCCUUGGUCAUCUCUUUUCAAAGCUAAACAGUCCCAGUUUUUUCAAUCUCUUCUCAUAUGGAAGCUGUUCCAUACCCUCAGUCAUUUUUGUUGUCCUUCUCUGCACUUUUUCCAAUUCUAAUA